UACCCGGAAGACACGACCACGAAGCGAAGUACGCGGAUCACAAGAAAACACUGCAAAAUAGGGGGAAACUACAUCAAAGCCUGGAUAUAAUUUGUAUACAAAAGGGUUGGGCGAGGUGCCUAAAACCAGUUUGGCAAGUGGGAUUAUCGGAAAGGCAUUCUUAAUAAGUCAACCCCAGAAUGAAUGCCAUAAACCUACAGCAGCUGGCGGGCUUCAUCUCAACAAAUGGUACCACAAUGCCCUUUGGACAGAGAAUGAAUGUAUAAAUCUGAUCGCUUUACCCCUCUCUUCCUGUCUCUCUCACACACUGACCAUGAAAAGAACACAAUGAUACGGAGCAGAACUCUGCAGCCAAACUGAGACAUGCUGACUAGAAAUGAUGAACUGACCAGAGACAUUUGAGUAACUACAAGUCUUUGUGCUGCCCUGAAACUACACAUCUAGCAUUUAUCAGACUGGAAGACUGACAACCAUGACACCUCUGACUUCACUUCCAUCUUCCAUCCACUUGAAUCCGCCUCUUCCUUCCCAAGAACUUUAUCACCAGAAGAAAUGCCAUCUUGAUCAGUCAUAUGGAGACUUGCGCUGUUUCAACAUCUUA